AGAGUUUGAUCCUGGCUCAGGAUGAACGCUAGCUACAGGCUUAACACAUGCAAGUCGAGGGGCAGCAUUUCAGUUUGCUUGCAAACUGGAGAUGGCGACCGGCGCACGGGUGAGUAACACGUAUCCAGCCUGCCGAUAACUCGGGGAUAGCCUUUCGAAAGAAAGAUUAAUACCCGAUGGCAUAAUUAGACCGCAUGGUCUUAUUAUUAAAGAAUUUCGGUUAUCGAUGGGGAUGCGUUCCAUUAGGCAGUUGGUGAGGUAACGGCUCACCAAACCUUCGAUGGAUAGGGGUUCUGAGAGGAACGGUCCCCCANAUUGGAACUGAGACACGGUCAAACUCCUACGGGAGCA
rnacentral:rRNA from 1 species